rnacentral:rRNA from 1 species
GGAGGUAGUGACAAUAAAUCACAAUGCGGGACUAUUAGUUUUGCAAUUGGAUUGAGAACAAUGUAAAAGAGUUAUCGAUAAACAAUUGGAGGGCAAGUCUGGUGCCAGCAGCCGCGGUAAUUCCAGCUCCAAUAGCGUAUAUUAACGUUGUUGCAGUUAAAAAGCUCGUAGUUGAAGUGUGGGGUGAAAAAAUUGGUAAUCUUUUUGAUUGCUUAUUUGCUCACCCCCUCUCCAAUUUGUUAUUAUGGGUAUUAAUUUACUUGUAGUAGCUGUUGGUCAUUUACUGUGAGAAAAUUAGAGUGUUCAAAGCAGGCAUUUGCUUGAAUAUAUUAGCAUGGAAUAAUAGUAAAAGGCUUUUGUGGUCGAUUUAAUUGGUUUGUUCAUAAAAGCAAGAUUAAUAGGGACAGUUGGGGGUAUUCAUAUUCAAUAGUUAGAGGUGAAAUUCUCGGAUUUAUGGAAGAUGAACAA